rnacentral:rRNA from 1 species
UGGCUCAGAACGAACGCUGGCGGCAGGCUUAACACAUGCAAGUCGAACGAUAUAGUGGCAGACGGGUGAGUAACGCGUGGGAACGUACCUUUCACUACGGAAUAGCUCUUGGAAACGAGUGGUAAUACCGUAUACGCCCUCCGGGGGAAAGAUUUAUCGGUGAAAGAUCGGCCCGCGUUAGAUUAGCUAGUUGGUAGGGUAAUGGCCUACCAAGGCGACGAUCUAUAGCUGGUCUGAGAGGAUGAUCAAGCCACACUGGGNCUGAGACACGGCCCAGACUCCUACGGGAGGCAGCAGUGGGGAAUCUUGCACAAUGGGCGAAAGCCUGAUGCAGCCAUGCCGCGUGAAUGAUGAAGGCCUUAGGGUUGUAAAAUUCUUUCGCUAGGGAUGAUAAUGACAGUACCUAGUAAAGAAGCCCCGGCUAACUUCGUGCCAGCAGCCGCGGUAAUACGAAGGGGGCUAGCGUUGUUCGGAAUUACUGGGCGUAAAGCGCACGUAGGCGGACUUUUAAGUCAGAUGUGAAAUCCCAGGGCUCAACUCUGGAACUGCAUUUGAAACUGGAAGUCUAGAGACCAGGAGAGGUUAGCGGAAUACCGAGUGUAGAGGUGAAAUUCGUAGAUAUUCGGUGGAACACCAGUGGCGAAGGCGGCUAACUGGACUGGUACUGACGCUGAGGUGCGAAAGUGUGGGGAGCAAACAGGAUUAGAUACCCUGGUAGUCCACACCGUAAACGAUGAGAGCUAGUUGUUGGCAGGCAUGCCUGUCAGUGACGCAGCUAACGCAUUAAGCUCUCCGCCUGGGGAGUACGGCCGCAAGGUUAAAACUCAAAGAAAUUGACGGGGGCCCGCACAAGCGGUGGAGCAUGUGGUUUAAUUCGAAGCAACGCGCAGAACCUUACCUACCCUUGACAUACCGAUCGCGGUUUCCAGAGAUGGAUUCCUUCAGUUAGGCUGGAUCGGAUACAGGUGCUGCAUGGCUGUCGUCAGCUCG